GUGGGAAUACCCCAAACUAUAGUUAGACGAGUGUGGGCGUACGUGAGUGUGCGAAGAGAAAGAAAAAAGUCCGCUGCAUAUCUGCAAGAACUUACAUAGAUCCAUGCGUGUUCAUAUCCGUCUGGUCCCCCGCGACAGCGGCUCAUCAACACGUUCCCACACUCCCUUCGUGGCUCGUCGCCCUCUGGACUCCAUUUCCCACAAGGCGAGUCACCUGUGCCGGCUCCUGGUAUGCAGCGGGCAGGGCCCCCUCCGAGGUCCAGUCCCGAGCCGAGCGCGGGCCGUCGGCGGAAGUGAGAGCCGGAAGUGCCUUGGACGUGUGCGGAGGCUGGCGGCUGGCGGCGCUGCCCGCCUGUGACGGGGGCCCGCGGCCGAGAAGUGAAGGGUGUAUUGCAUGCGAAGCACCACCUGUGUGGGCAGAUGAGACCUCCUGUGUGUGGGGACCCCAGCACAGACCUUGCCUGUGUCUGCAGUGUGACCUCAGACACAGAGCAUGAGCGGGGAAGGAGCAGAGAGAGGGAGACACAGAAUCUGAAGCAGGCUCCAGGCUCCGAGCUGUCAGCACAGAGCCUGACGCGGGGCUUGAACUCACGAACUGUAAGAUCAUGACCUAAGCCGAAGUCAGAUGCUCAACCGACUGAGCCACCCAGGCGCCCCAUGUGUAACACCAUUUGUGUGUGCAGAUGAGACUUCAG